ensembl:lncRNA
CUCCUCUGACGACGCAGGUGGCAGCGGGGUGCAGAGAGCUUCCGUGGAAGCAUCAUGUUGGUUUAAAAAGAGAAAAGAAAGCAGGUGGAGUGCCAAAAAUAAACCAAGAAUAGAACCUGAGACCGCGUCUGUCCGGCUGCUCCUGCUGCAACAGGGCUGGGGAGGGACCCACGGCAUUCCCACAGGAGCUGAGGAAGGGGUGACAGACACCAUUUAAACUACUGUGUCCUGAUUAGGUCAGAUCUCUUCCACCCGUACCCUGUAUCACCAGAGAACAGAAUUUCCAUGCAGCCACUGGUUUGUCCUCAGACAGCGGCACUAGAAGUUACCGCGUUCAGCUUUUGUCCUAUUGCCUGGCUUCCCUGCCCUUGAUCUUCUUCCAGCAGUGGAAACAGCUCUCAUCUUCUCUUGAAUGAGAAUAUCAGUCUACCAACACCAGGUGCUUCUUUCCUUUUUUAAGAGCUCUGUUCAGAGCAUUCCUCCAGAGUGGAACUCUGCUACUUGGCCAAACCAAACAGCACCAACAGCUGAGCAGCCACUAACAUGAUGACGCAGGAGCACACCAUCCAAAGCAGAACCUCACGAAGACAGGAACACUGUAGAAGUACAUUAAAGGAUACAAAAGGAACUUCCAAAUGGACAUAUAAAAAAGAGAAGAACAAACCUCUGAAUUAGCAAGGAAUAAAUACUUUCAGCUGCUUUCUACUGAGAGCUUUCUGGGGUUAAUUUCUGAAUAUUUUGGCCAGGAGUUGUGCCUGUCCUCUGCAGUGAACUUAUCAUGUACAUUUCUUUAGAAUUUUCUUUUAUUUUCCUUAAUUGUAAAUAAACUGGGG